rnacentral:lncRNA from 1 species
GAGCUCGGAGAACAGGACGGCGGGUCGGCUGCGACGCUGGUCAGACGAAGGCGGUGAUCCUCAAGACGGAGAGACAACGGAGCUUGAGGCGCAGUGAAUCGUGCACGGCGGAGCUCGAGGCGCGGUGAAAUGAGGACGGCGGAGUUCCAGCCGCAGUUAAUCGCGGACGGCAGGAGAUUGAAGAAUUGUGAAUGGUGGACGCUGUGUGAGUCUUGAGUGUGUGGGAGAAGAAGAAUACAAAAGUGAUGAGUGAUGAGAGUAGAUAAUGUGAGUGGUGAAUGAGAAAGUGAUUUAGGGUUUGGUCGAGCUCAUGUUUGCACUUUGCAACAUGGAGAGCAGGAGAGGGAAGUCUUCUGUUGAAUGCUGGGUCGGGUUUGCGUUUGGAUAUCCAGCUUUCUUGGAUCUAGGCUAGGUUGUGGGCCGGGUCGUGACAGAAAAAUGUAACGAAGGGAUGAUUUAUGAGAAAUUUUUCUUUGGUGGAAGAUAUCCAAGCAAAUGAGGCAAAUGUCAUUUUCCAUAAUGCAAUUUCAUUAGAUGAUAAAUGAAGAUUACCAUCAUCGUCGUGGUGUGCAUGUCGCCUCCAUAAACGUCAUUGUCAAUCGAAUCCGCUUUUGUUGCUAUCUUCCUAUGCAAACAACAUCAAGUGUAGUUAAAAGUUGAAACACAAAAAAGUAGAGGAACUAAAAAAUAACUAAGAUCCGAGAUAUCGCAAGUGAACUAGCGAAUUUGUUAAAGGGCUUAAACUUUUUGAAGGGUUAGGCUUUAUCACCUCCAAAUAUGGAAUCAAAAUUGGAAGAGCUUCAUUACAUGUAUUUCAUUGGAUUUAAUGGGUGCAUUAAGAAUUCAAACGAAGGGUAAGUGUAUCGCGUUCGUGUUCUUCGGCCCUGCGUUCUUGAUUCCGAGAUAUGCCACCAUGUUGAAGAAGCGCUUGUGCAGCUUAGGGGAAAAUGCAAGAGAGGAAAAAAAAUAAAGUUUGAGGAUAAUGGAAAGAAAU